GUUUGGGAAGAUUGACCUGAAACUGAAAAUGAACCAAAGAAGCUUCAACUCUGCAGCAAAUUUUUCCAAUGCUCAAACAGAAAAUAGAGAUGGCAACAAAAUGUGUUCAGAAGUUACAAUAGUAAGCACGCUAAUAACUAAGAGAAAUUCACUUAAACCAUUAAAAAUCCUGUUUAGGUGAUCCUAGACCAGCCAAAAACUAUAGGACAUGAAUAUACAAAUGUAAUCAAAAUCAUCUAGUGCCUCGCACAGUCGCACCUAACUGCUUGCCACAACAGAAAAAGAAAAUAACUAGAAGAGCAUUAGAAACUGUAUUUCCAGCUAUCUAUUAUUAUGUUUCUACAAUUCUACUGUUUUUGUUGUACCUUUACUUCCUGUUGACUUAAGUA
rnacentral:misc_RNA from 1 species